GACGAACGCUGGCGGCGUGCUUAACACAUGCAAGUCGAACGAUGAAGCCGGAGCUUGCUCUGGUGAAUUAGUGGCGAACGGGUGAGUAACACGUGAGUAACCUGCCCUUGACUCUGGGAUAACUGCGGGAAACUGUAGCUAAUACCGGAUACGACCCUCGGAGGCAUCUCCUGGGGGUGGAAAGAAUUUCGGUCAAGGAUGGACUCGCGGCCUAUCAGCUAGUUGGUGAGGUAAAGGCUCACCAAGGCGACGACGGAUAGCCGGCCUGAGAGGGUGACCGGCCACACUGGGCCUGGGACACGGCCCAGACUCCUACGGGAGGCAGCAGUGGGGAAUAUUGCACAAUGGGCGCAAGCCUGAUGCAGCAACGCCGCGUGAGGGAUGACGGCCUUCGGGUUGUAAACCUCUUUUAGCAGGGAAGAAGCGAAAGUGACGGUACCUGCAGAAAAAGCACCGGCUAACUACGUGCCAGCCGCCGCCGUAA
rnacentral:rRNA from 1 species